GAUGAAGAACGCAGCAAAAUGCGAUACCUGGUGUGAAUUGCAGAAUCCCGCGAACCAUCGAGUUUUUGAACGCAAGUUGCGCCCGAGGCCUUCUGGCUGAGGGCACGCCUGCCUGGGCGUCACGCCAAAAGACACUCCCAACCCAUCCUUGGGAAAGGACGUGGUGUUUGGCUCCCCGUGCCGCAAGGUGCGGUGGGCCGAAGUUAGGGCUGCCGGCAUAACUUGCCAGGCACCGCACGUGGUGGGCGACAUUAGUUGUUCUCGGUGUAGUGUCUUGGCUUGCAGCUGGCUUAUUGGCCCAAAGGACCCAUUGAUGACCGAUGCGCUUUGUCGCUCGGACCGCGACCCCAGGUCAGACGGGACUACCCGCUGAGUUUAAGCAUAUCAAUAAGCGGAGGA
rnacentral:misc_RNA from 1 species